GGGCAUGUGGCCAAAUGGAUAAGGCGCCUGACUACGAAUCAGGAGAUCGUAGGUUCGACCCCUACCUUGCUCA